GCCGCCGUGGUGGAAUAGGUAUACACAGCAGGUUGAGGGCCUGUGCCCGCGAGGGCGUGCUGGUUCGAGUCCAGUCGGCGGCA
rnacentral:tRNA from 1 species